rnacentral:rRNA from 1 species
AAAUUGAAGAGUUUGAUCAUGGCUCAGAUUGAACGCUGGCGGCAGGCCUAACACAUGCAAGUCGAACGGUAACAGGAAGCAGCUUGCUGUUUUGCUGACGAGUGGCGGACGGGUGAGUAAUGUCUGGGAAACUGCCUGAUGGAGGGGGAUAACUACUGGAAACGGUGG